GUCGCAAGUGUCACUCGCGUUUGCUCGCCGACUCUCACUGCGUUCACAGUGGCGGGAAUUUCGCUGGGGUUUGGGUCUGGGGGGGUAACCCCCAAGAGUUGAGAAAAAUCUCAUGCAAACUCUCGCUUCUCAACUCUCAUCAAGUCUCGUUUGUAUUGACCAGAACUUAUAGCAUGUGUGAGUUUAUUAGAAAUAAGUGAAACGUUUAGGAACUUUGAAUGUUUUAGAAAUACGAGUGUUUCAGUGUAGCUACAAUAGAUAAAUAUGGAUUGUGAAUUCACAACUUUUGAUAUUGCAAGUUGUUUUUACUAGUUAGAAGAAAGAUAUUGGAACAAAGAUAACCUAGCAUUACAUGUAUAUAUAACUCACAUUUAUUGAUCUCGUAUAUUAUGUUAAUUAUUCGAGGGUCGAUCCAUGGAUUAAAUAAAAAUCGUAGCGUUAACUACGACUAUGCGGAAUCUUUUUCAGGUACUGUAGUAAUUCAGACACAAACCAC